UACGUAGGGACCAAGCGUUGUUCGGAUUUACUGGGCGUAAAGGGCGCGUAGGCGGCAAUUCAAGUCAGCUGUGAAAUCUCCGGGCUUAACUCGGAACGGUCAGCUGAUACUGCUUUGCUAGAGUGCAGAAGGGGCAAUCGGAAUUCUUGGUGUAGCGGUGAAAUGCGUAGAUAUCUGGAGGAAUACCGGUGGCGAAGGCGGCAUCCUGGACCGACAUUGACGCUGAGGAGCGAAAGCUAGGGGAGCGAACAGG
rnacentral:rRNA from 1 species